rnacentral:rRNA from 1 species
UACGUAGGUGGCAAGCGUUGUCCGGAUUUAUUGGGUUUAAAGGGUGCGUAGGCGGCUUUGUAAGUCAGUGGUGAAAUAUGGCAGCUCAACUGUCAAGGUGCCAUUGAUACUGCAGAGCUUGAGUACAGAUGAGGUAGGCGGAAUUGACGGUGUAGCGGUGAAAUGCUUAGAUAUCGUCAAGAACACCUAUAGCGAAGGCAGCUUACUAGGCUGUAACUGACUCUGAGGCACGAAAGUGUGGGGAUCAAACAGG